rnacentral:rRNA from 1 species
GGAGUGAAGGGAAUGAGCGGCGGACGGGUGAGUAACACGUAAGGAACCUGCCCCAAGGAUUGGGAUAACUCCGAGAAAUCGGAGCUAAUACCGAAUAGUUCUUCAGACCGCAUGGUCUGAUGAUGAAAGGCGCUUCGGCGUCACCUUGGGAUGGCCUUGCGGUGCAUUAGCUAGUUGGUGGGGUAAUGGCCCACCAAGGCGACGAUGCAUAGCCGACCUGAGAGGGUGAUCGGCCACACUGGGACUGAGACACGGCCCAGACUCCUACGGGAGGCAGCAGUAGGGAAUCUUCCACAAUGGACGAAAGUCUGAUGGAGCAACGCCGCGUGAGUGAUGAAGGUUUUCGGAUCGUAAAACUCUGUUGUAAGGGAAGAACAGGUAUGAGAGGUAAUGCUCAUGCUAUGACGGUACCUUACGAGAAAGCCACGGCUAACUACGUGCCAGCAGCCGCGGUAAUACGUAGGUGGCAAGCGUUGUCCGGAAUUAUUGGGCGUAAAGCGCGCGCAGGCGGCCUUUUAAGUCUGAUGUGAAAGCCCCCGGCUCAACCGGGGAGGGUCAUUGGAAACUGGAAGGCUUGAGUACAGAAGAGAAGAGUGGAAUUCCAUGUGUAGCGGUGAAAUGCGUAGAGAUGUGGAGGAACACCAGUGGCGAAGGCGACUCUUUGGUCUGUAACUGACGCUGAAGCGCGNNAGCGUGGGGAGCAUACAGGAUUANAUACCCUGGUAGUCCACNCCGUAAACGAUGANUUGCCUAGGUGUUGGNNGGUUUUCCCCCCCUNCAUUGCUGAACCUAACGCAAUUANCNCNCUCNGCCUUGGGGGAGUUCCNGCCCNCUAGGGNUUUAAACUNAAAAAGUNNUUUNCGNNGGNCCCNGGACANNCGNNNANACCANUUNNANAAANUUCCNUGGCNNCGNCGUUUAAACCCNCCAAAAUUUUUGNNAACCCUCUUUGNCCCAUGAAAAANAAAAACUUNUNCCCUN